rnacentral:ncRNA from 1 species
CAAGGAUCCGGGUGUGACUCCCGCGGGGCUCUUCCGGCCGCCGAUCCGCCGGACAAGC